AAACCUGCCAGGCCUCUGUUUCUGACUCCACUCAGGAGAAUAGCCCUUAAAACUGGGAAACUCGACUGCAUAGUUUGUGGUAGUGGGGGACUGCGUUCGCGCUCUCCCCCU
rnacentral:snRNA from 1 species